UGAUUGGCUGUGGAUAACAAACUGCGGAAUGCGAAACUGUUGAUAAGGGUGGACUACUGUAACUCUGGACAAUUUCCUCAACUCUGCCCAAUAUCAAAGGAAGGCUCUUCAGGCUCCAAGCAUUGUCAGUGAUGUGCUACAAAGAGGAACAACUAAGCUGACACAGAUAUGAAGGCAGCAAUGACACUGAACUGCCAGAAUAGUGAUCCUCAAAGGUGGACAGGUGUCACACCUGAAUCCCUGGGGGUCAGGACCAAUCAACUUCCCCGCCUACCCCAACCGUGGCCACUCUUUCUAGUCAUAGUUUAUCUUAUGCCUCAGGGGCAGUAAUGGGGUUAAGAAAUGGUAGAAAGUAUGUACCCAAAUUCUCAAUCACAUUUGAUUGUUCACUAGAACUUUUUCUAAGAAGACUAAAUGGUGAGAACGGGGGGAUGGCCCUCCAGGAAAAUUCAGGUAGGUGUCAUAAUAUUUAAUGAAAGAGGCAUUUCCUUUUUUAAUCCUUUGUAGGGUCAGAAAAGAAAAAAAUUCAAGAUAUGCAAAGGAAGCCAGAUCAAAAUCCCCUUGGCCAUGGAUACUGGUGCCCUACAUCAGCACCCUUCAAGAGUGUGGAUGAGGCUGAGUAGGUGGGAACCUGCAUCCCUUGAAAGAAGCAGGCAAGGACAGGGUAGUGACAAGUGCUGGUCACUUGUGAGGGCUGCCUCCCCAUCCAGUUCCCUCUGCAGCCAGGAGCAGGAGUUGUUUCUGGCUCAAGCCAGCCCCCAUGGCCGCCAUUCCCUUAUAUGACCCUGCUUCGCAGGGUAACGUACCAGACAGUUUCACGCUCGUUAUCCUUGCAACGGAUUACUCGGUGAGGAGCAUCAGAGAACUGAAAAGACAGACUGACUUCGACUUGAAUCCUGGCUCUUCCUCUUACUAGUUUCAUGGCCUUGGAUGGAAAAAUGAGUUAUUCCACUGAAGCCAGGAAAAUCCAUGCUGGCACCCUAGCAGUCCAUCAGAAAGUCGUUAUUUCUCCACUGUCAGAGAUCCUGUCCUGAAUAUGCAGCCUAGCACAGCAUGUUAUGGAGCUGCCUCUGGGAUCAAGGGAAAGGAGAACUCAGUACCCUGAGGUGCACAAAAGGCACUGCACAAGAAGGCCCACAUUGACGUGCAGAAGGAAGUGAAGAGGAAGGAGUGAUACAUUCUGAAAUGGUUGAAGAGCCGAAAAAAGGCAAAGCAUUGAGGAAAGUGAGAACUGAGGAAAAGGGCACUGGAUUUGAUGACUCACUACUCUCCUUUAGUGAACUUUAAUAGAAGAGUUUCAGUAGAGUAAUAGAAACCAAAAUUGCAACCAGUUCAACGAGUAGGAGGCAAAGAAAUGCCAGUGAACAUAGAUUAUGCUUGAAAUGAAUGCAAGAGAUGAGACAGCUGACUUCAGAAAGCAGCGGAUUCAACAGAAGAUUGUUUAAUUGGCUGACAAUUUUUAUGAUAAGAAAGACCAGAAAAGGUCUAUAGGCUAAUGGGGGAGAGGAUAGUGGGAAAAGAUUGUAGAGGUUUGGGAGGUUUUUGUCCUCAGAUAGGAGGAAAGAGAGAAGGUACAUGGCACCUAAUACAUACUCAAUACGUAUUUGUUGAAUUAAAAAGGAUCUAGUUUGGAGGAUGCUAACUCUUAUGGGGAGUAAUAGUAUAAUAAUUAAGUCAAAUCUUAGCAAGAGGUGGUUCCUGGAAGAACUCAGGUCUCAUUUGAAGGGAUCCCAAGAUCCCUUGAGCCAGGCACUUCUCCCCAUGCAGGAAUAUAGAGCCAUUGAUACCAGAGAUUCUGAUGGCAAAAAGCUGGAUUUUUGUGGGAGAUUUCUUUAUUUUUAAACUUUGACAACUGUUUUAAACAACGUUAAUCCAACAAAAUAGCCAAUAUUCAGUCAAUUGGCAACCACUUGGUAACUUGUAUUUUAGCACAUAUUUCUCUAGAUCAUACUUGCUUGAAUGGCAUUUAACAGUUUUAUUGAUAUAUAAUUUACAAAUACAAUUCACCCAUUUAAAGUGUACAAUUCAACUGCUUUUAGAAAUUUCCAGAUAUGUGUAACCAUCACCACAGAGCAUUUAAAAAAUUUUCAUCACCUCAAAAAGAAACCUGGGGGUUCUUUAGCUAUCACUCCCCUAUUUCCUCACUCCCCCAACCCCAAGCAACCACUAACCUACGUUCUCUAUACAUUUGCUUAUUCUGUAUUUUAUUUGAAUGAAAUUGUGUAAAAUGUAGUCUUCUGUGACUGGCAUAUUUCACUUAGGGGAUAGGUUUUUUUUUGUUUUUGUUUUCAAGUAAAGAAGUGAGAAUGUGAAAAAUUUGGAGGGAUUUU
rnacentral:lncRNA from 1 species